AAGCUGAAUCUCUUUAAAGUUCCU
rnacentral:siRNA from 1 species